UACGUAGGUGGCGAGCGUUGUCCGGAUUUACUGGGCGUAAAGGGGGCGUAGGCGGACUUUUAAGUGAGAUGUGAAAUACUCGGGCUCAACUUGAGUGCUGCAUUUCAAACUGGAAGUCUAGAGUGCAGGAGAGGAGAAUGGAAUUCCUAGUGUAGCGGUGAAAUGCGUAGAGAUUAGGAAGAACACCAGUGGCGAAGGCGAUUCUCUGGACUGUAACUGACGCUGAGGCUCGAAAGCGUGGGGAGCAAAUAGG
rnacentral:rRNA from 1 species